GCCACCACGCCCAGAUAAUUUUUUUGUAUUUUUAGUAGAGACGGGGUUUCAUCGUGUUAGCCAGGAUGGUCUCGAUCUCCUGACCUCGUGAUCCUCCCGCCUCGGCCUCCCAAAGUGCUGGGAUUACAGGCGUGAGCCACCGCGCCCGGCCAAAAGUCUUUUAAGAUAGGGAAGAGCAGUGCCCAGUGGGGUGUCCCAGGGAUAAAAAUAGGGCAGUAGGUGAAGGCGGGGGGUGUGAGCCAGGCAGGCAGGGACCAGACACCAUGUGAUGGGUGCAGGGGUGGGACCCACGGAAGGUCUGAAAAAGGCCUGGGCCUUAGAAGAUGGGGAAGCAGGAGGACCCACUUAGAGGCCUUCACAACCUUCUAGGGCACAGGCCAGAAUGCGGUAUAGGUUUCAGAAGGGGGCUGG
rnacentral:lncRNA from 1 species